rnacentral:rRNA from 1 species
AGGUCAAGCAAGAAAGAGCGCAGGGUGGAUGCCUUGGCACUAAGAGCCGAAGAAAGACGUGAUAAGCUGCGAAAAGCCACGGGGAGGAGCAAAUAUCCCUUGAUCCGUGGAUGUCUGAAUGGGGAAACCCACAUGAGAACACCUCAUGUAUCCAUACGCCAAUCCAUAACGUAUGGAAGGGAACCCGGUGAACUGAAACAUCUAAGUAGCCGGAGGAAGAGAAAGAAAAAUCGAUUUCCAAAGUAGCGGCGAGCGAAAUGGAAAGAGGCCAAACCGGAGUGCGUGCAUUCCGGGGUUCGGACCGCAUAAUUGAUUCAAUGAUUCUAGCAGAACUGUUUUGGGAAAGCAGGCCGCAGAGGGUGAAAGCCCCGUAAGCGAAAGGAGAAUUGACAUGGCGGUAUCCAGAGUACAUCGAGACACGAGAAACCUUGAUGGAAUGAGCGGGGACCACCCCGUAAGCCUAAAUACUACUUAGUGACCGAUAGCGCAUAGUACUGUGAAGGAAAGGUGAAAAGGACCCCGGGAGGGGAGUGAAAGAGAACCUGAAACCCUGUGUUUACAAGCUGUGGAAGACCCUUAUGUGGUCAACCGCGUACUUUUUGUAGAACGGUCCGGCGAGUUACGGACACUGGCAAGGUUAAGUGCUUAAGGCACGGAGCCGAAGGGAAACCAAGUCUUAACAGGGCAUAAAGUCAGUGUACGUAGACCCGAAACCGGGUGAUCUAUCCAUGUCCAGGUUGAAGUUGCCGUAAAAGGCAAUGGAGGACCGAACGCACAUCCGUUGAAAAGGGUGGCGAUGAGGUGUGGAUAGGGGAGAAAUUCCAAUCGAACCCGGAGAUAGCUGGUUCUCCUCGAAAUAGCUUUAGGGCUAGCCUCGUUUUAGUCUUAUGGAGGUAGAGCACUGAAUUUCCGCGGGGGCGUCAAAGCUUACCAAAGAAUAUCAAACUCCGAAUGCCAUGUAGAUGAUGAACGGGAGUCAGACUGCACGAGAUAAGUUGGGUAGUCAAAAGGGAAAGAGCCCAGACCACCAGCUAAGGUCCCAAAGUGUGUGUUAAGUGGAAAAGGAUGUGGGAUUUCGAAGACAACUAGGAUGUUGGCUCAGAAGCAGCCAUUCAUUCAAAGAGUGCGUAACAGCUCACUAGUCGAGAGGUCCUGCGCCGAAAAUGUCCGGGGCUGAAACACAACACCGAAGCUGUGGAAUGUAGUAAUACAUUGGUAGAGGAGCAUUCUUAAUACCGACGAAGCUGUACCGGAAGGAGCAGUGGAGGGAUAAGAAGAGAGAAUGCCGGAAUGAGUAGCGAGAGGAAGGUGAGAAUCCUUCCGGCCGAAUAUCUAAGGUUUCCAGAGUAAAGCUGAUCUGCUCUGGGUAAGUCGGGGCCUAAGGCGAGGUCGAAAGACGUAGUCGAUGGAUAACAGGUUUAGAUUCCUGUACUGCGUAUCAUCAGAAAUGUGGGGACGCAUGUGGAAAGCACGAGCCGGGAAUGGAAAGACCGGUACAAGCGAGGGAGGUGUACGGCUGGCAAAUCCGCCGUAUAAGCCAAAAGCGUGAAGUGGAGCGAAAUAAAAGUAGCGAAGCGUGUGAGCCAUGUGCCGAGAAAAGCCGCUAUUGUGUGAUAUGUACCCGUACCGCAAACCGACACAGGUAGAUGAGGAGAGAAUCCUAAGGCCGACGGAAGAAGUAUUGUUAAGGAAUUCGGCAAAAUGUCCCCGUAACUUCGGGAGAAGGGGAGCCCACGAGAGUGGGCCGCAGAGAAUAGGCUCAAGCAACUGUUUAGCAAAAACACAGGUCUAUGCGAAACCGAAAGGUGAUGUAUAUGGGCUGACGCCUGCCCGGUGCUGGAAGGUUAAGAGGAGAGGUUAGAGCAAUCGAAGCUUUGAAUUUAAGCCCCAGUAAACGGCGGCCGUAACUAUAACGGUCCUAAGGUAGCGAAAUUCCUUGUCGGGUAAGUUCCGACCCGCACGAAAGGCGUAAUGAUUUGAGCACUGUCUCGACAAUACAUCCGGUGAAAUUGAAGUACCAGUGAAGAUGCUGGUUACCCGCGCCAGGACGGAAAGACCCCAUGGAGCUUUACUCCAGUUUGGUACUGGGAUUCGGUACUGCAUGUACAGGAUAGGUGGGAGACUAAGAAACUUGAACGCCAGUUUGAGUGGAGUCGCUGUUGGGAUACCACCCUUGCAGUAUUGGGUUUCUAACCUGUCACCGUGAUCCGGUGAAGGGACAAUGCCAGGCGGGGAGUUUGACUGGGGCGGUCGCCUCCGGAAGGG